AUGAAGGUGUUGAGAUUUAGCUUCAAAUUUGUGGUCUGGAAGAACAGGGAAAUCGUGACACGAAUUUGGCAUCGUGACACGAUUUCGUGAUGCCGUGAGCUGGUUUGCAGGGUGCCAAAUCGUGACACGAUCGUGGGAAAUCGUGACACGAUUUGCAAACUUGCUCGUUAAGUUUCCAUGAUAAGGACUGGUCGUACCUUGGGACAGAUGCACCAAUCGUGACACGAUUUUAUCAGUGGAGGGCUAGUAUUUAAGUGUUCCUGUGCAGAUUUGAAGAAGGGUUGGAAGAGAGAGAAACUUGGGAAAUCAAAGGGAGAAACUCUAGGGUUUAGAGUCUUUGAUUAGAGCUUCUCUUGGCUUGGGAAACAUGGGAAACACCUUGAAGAGAGAAAAUCAUCGAGUGUCUUGGUGAGAUUGGGAAAAGGGUAGAAAUUAGGGUUGUUCAUUGUGAACUUGUCAAAUCUAAUUUCUUGUAACUCUUUUUGUAUCUCUUUUGUAAGAACUCAUUGAUAGUGAAUUGGAGAGUACAAUCUCUCCUCCAUAGUAGGU
rnacentral:lncRNA from 1 species